rnacentral:rRNA from 1 species
GUCAGCGACCAUACCACAUAGAAAGCACCGGUUCUCGUUCGAUCACCGAAGUUAAGCUACGUUGGGCCCGGUUAGUACUUGCAUGGGUGACCGACUGGGAAUACCGAGUGCUGCUAACA